UGUCUGCCUGGUUGAACUUCU
rnacentral:misc_RNA from 1 species